rnacentral:lncRNA from 1 species
UUACAAGAGAGGGCCCCUUAAUGGGGCUGAAACUCAUCCAUUUUACAAACUUAAUCUCCAGCAUACCCUCUCUACAAAAGAAACCAUAGCAGCCCUCCCCCCAAGCUGUCCGUUCUUCACUCCUAAGGUACCCCCAAGUUGAAUCUUCUUCUCCUUUCAAAUUCAAGUUGGAGGAACACUCUUAGCCCUAAAGAAUCCACAAGAUAUAAGUGUUAUCUUCAAGGUAUGUUGCUGUAAUUCCAACCCCUUUUAAUUAUAUUUAACUAGGGGCAACCAUACUUGUUUUAGUUAAGAAUUCGCAGGCUAACGUGUUGAGGAUGGUAAGUUUGAUGUUGUGCCCAUUUUGUGGCUUAAUUUAGGGUCUGUUUUGGGUAUAAUUUGGUCAUGUAACAGCCUAGGUAUGGUAUUUUAUUUUCACCCUAAUUAAGAGCUAGUUUUAACAUUGUAAAUAUAAUAUUGGCUGAAAAUUACGGGACGGUGAUUGGAAGGGACGGUGAUUGGAAGUCGUGAGUUCAAAUUGUGUAACUUAUGACGGAUUGUUUUGGGACUCUUUUGUGGAAUGCUUUGUGGAAUUUUUUGUGAUGUAUUGUGAUGGAUAUAAGAUUGGAUAUUGAUGCAUAUAUAAUCGUUGGUAUGCUGGACAUAUUGGUCUUGUUGUUUGAUUUGAGAAAAAUAAAAAGAAUAAGGGGAACGUGUUGUCCAAAUUUUCGUAGACAAGUUAGUCAUUCAUUUGUUUUGAAUUCUAGCUUAAAAAUGAUCCCUUGUCAUUUUUUAUAGAUUGAAGUACUAACGGGUUGAACCGGCGCCGUGUGAUUAAGUAGACAACAAAGGUAUGUAGGUCAUUCGAUUCCGUAUUCUUUGGCAUGAAGUCACGCGUAAGAUACUCCUAUCGACAAAAUCAGCUCUAUUAAUUUUCCUCUCAAUGAAAGAGGGGACAUGGGCAAGUAAAUGGUUCAUGAGUAGUGUACUUGAUCCCGUAGUUGACACUCCCAGUUUUAUGUUUGAAAUCUAUUUUUAUGAUAAUCGAGCCACAAGAUAAAAGGCUAAUUCUUCAAAGUAUAGUCACAUAAGCAUUCUUGAUGUAAGGAUCACUUGUAGAGCUAUAGUGAGUUUUAUUGUUCCACAUAGGAGUUUUGAUCUUUUUUUCUAUGCUAUAUAAUAUGUGAUCACAAUCGUAAAUGUCAUUGGUAUCUCUUGUGCGCAUAAGAUUUUAAAGUACAAAGAUUACGUGAUCACUUAGUAAAGGUAAUAAAAGUCAAAUGUAUCAUUAAAAGAAGCUAUGUGUACAUGAUCAUAGUGACAUCAUCCCAGGGGCUACUAGCCUAGUUGGGUCAUGGAUGGUGACAUUAUGCCAGGGGCCAUUGUUUCCGAACUCGUGUUAAUAUAAUUGCACCCUCGCAGGGGCCAAAGAUCAUAGCUGGGGUCAUGAUUAUUGAUACACCAUCCCUGGGGAAAUGAGUCUAGCUCGGGUCAUAUUCAUGCCACAUUUAGUUGGCCGUUUACUUUGGAUUCUAUCGAGGCUAAUUCUAUACCGUUCAUGAGACAUAUGUACAUGCUUACAGAUAUGGUAUAGAUUGACUAAGGUACAGUUAAAGGUGGCAUCUUUUUAUAUGUACAUUAGUGCUUUUAUGAAUUCUUUCAUCUCCUAUAUGUUACUUUGUGCCUUACCUACUCAGUACAUUCUUCUGUACUGACUUCCCCAUUGGGGACGCUGCAUUUCAUGCUGCAGGCAGAGGUACUCCAGUUAGUAGACCUCCACUAGAAUAGAGUACAUGGCGUACUUGGCUAUCUUGGAUAAGCUCCAUAAUGUUUGGGGCCUUACCGAGUCAUGUAUAUAUGUUUUGGUAUUGUAUAAGGAUUAAGGGUAAGGCGGGACCCUGUCCUGACCUAAGUAUUUUUCAUAUAUAUAUAGUAGAGUCUUUGUAGACCUACGUUAAGGUAUGGCACAGUUACAACUUGACCCUUAAUAGGCAUAGCCUCGACGGUUAGUAUUAUAUGUACACGUUUUGGGCUUAUCUUAUGGGUCAUUAGAAUAAAGUAUUUCUGCUCUUACUUGGUAUUUAUAUGUUCAACUCAUGGUAUGCACAUGCUAAGCAUCGGUCAAGGACUGGUCCUCUCAGGACUAUAGAGGUUUCGAGUGCAUGUCCGUCCUUACGGGGUUUGAGGCGUGACAAAAGCCACGCCUUAAAAACGUAAAUACAAAUUCCUUUGGCAAAGCUUUUAAAGUUUUAGGUGUUGUCUGAUUAAUGUGGCCUUGGGCCAAAUUUGUUCUAUUCACAAACUAAAUUCACGUCCGACUGCUCACAAUAUUUUUUCCUUGAUUGACCAUCAUUUGAAUUGAUGACUGACUCGUAUUGUCUGAUUGAUUCUCACCUAAAUUUGGGAUUUUAUUAUGCUGGUAAAGGACUAUACAUCUAUAAAUUUAUUAAAGAUAUAACAUCAUAUGUUAUUGGUAGGAGCAAGCAACUAAUCAUGUAUGACUCAAAUAAUAGUCCGAAAGAAUGAAUAGGUAAAACAAGACGAUAAGAUCGUCAAAUGAUCCAAUAAAUAUUGAAUUAUUUGACAUGUGACGACUUAUUCCAAUUAUGAUUUGAUCAAUAAGUACCAGAAACAGAGUCGCCAGAUAUUUCACCAUGAGAUAUCGAGAUGAUAUUAACUAGAUUACUAACUAAAGUCAUUGAUCACGAUCUUGAUAUAUAGUCAAUGUAUAUGUCCAAAGUCAAAUUAUAGCAUUCCAUCACAAAAACUUGACCCGGUUGUGCACAAGUGGGAAAUGCACUAGCAGUGGAUAUCCAACCGUUGAUAUAUCAUGAGCGAUACACUACCAUUACUUUUAAGUUUUCUGUUGAGGUAUAUACUGCAAAGGUACUUAAAUUGGAUCAGUGAUCGAUUUCUAGGAUUCGUCAUAAAUCUAAUUAGUUAUUUUCAAUUACGUAUAUCUGUAACGACCCAACCGGUUAUUUUUAAGAAUUUGCAUUCAGUUCGGUGGUUUGAGGUCAGGAGUAGCUUCAUAUGGUGUAUUAUGACUUGUGUGUGUCGUCCAUUUUGGUUUUCGAGUGGUUCGGGAUUGAAUUGGAAGAAUGAUUCUCAACUAGGAAGUAUUAACUUGGCAGAGUUGACCAAGUUUGACUUUUGUGUAUUUGAUCUUGGAUCGAUAUUUUGAUGGCUCCGGAUGGUAAUUUUGGCUUGGCCAUAUGCCCAGAUUUGCAUUCGGAUAUUCCUAAAAGGUUUUGACUUUAUUUGGCAAAAGUUGGCAAUUUGUGUAUAAAAUUUGAGGUGAAUCCGAGUUGUUUAGACGUGUUCGGUGUAAGUUUGGAAUUUGAAAUUUUGAAAUAGUUCAUUAAGCUUGAAUUAAGGUGUGAUUCAUUAUUUUGAUAUUAUUAUAUGUGAUUUGAGACCUCGAGUAGGUCCGUGUUAUGUUUUGAUACUUGUUGGCAUGUACAGACGGGGUCCCGAGGGGCUCGUGUGAGUUUCACACGGGGUUCGGACUAUUUUGGGCCAUGUUGGAUAUUGCUGGUUUCUGUUGAUUUCUGAUGUUUCAGUUGUUCUCCGCAAUCGCGAAGAUGAAGCCGUGAUCGCAUAGUGUUCUGGGAGCUGGUCUUCUUUGGGCGAUAGAGGGAUCACGUUCGCGAUGGUUGAGGCUUUAAGCCUUCGUGUUCGCAUAUGGGACUACGCAUUCGCAUAGUAUUGAGCUAGGUUGGGCAUGUCAUGAUGGGUUCUUCUUCGCGUUCGCGCUGGAGUGUCCGCGUUCGCGAGGGUCUGUUCAAAUAUGAAUCACGAUCGCGAGCCUGGGGUCGUGGUCGCGUAAGGUUUCUUCGAGGCAGAUCAGUUUUGUGCUUCACGAUCGCGAAGCUAGUCCCAGGAUCGCGAAGGGUUUACCUGGACAGCGUUAUAAAGUAUUCUAUUUUCGAACUUUGAGUUAUUUUAUCACAUUUUGAGUUGGGGAGCUCAGAUUUGAGCGAUUUUGGAGAGGAAUUUUAUUAUACGAAUUGGGGUAAGUAUUUUCGACUUGGAUUUGAUUAUUUUACAUGAUUUCAUUUUUUAUUUUGUCAUUCAAGUGAUGAUUCUAAAAGAGAAAUUGGGGGUAGUUGUCAAAAUAAUUCUAAAGUGAAUAAUUGAGUUUUGAACAUCGAUUCGGAGUUGGAAUUGGAUGAAAUUAGUAUAGUUGGACUCGUAUUCGAAUGGGUUGUUAGAAUUUGUAAGUUUUGUUGGGUUCCUAGGUAUAGCCCUAGGUUGACUUUAAGUAUUUGAUUAAAUAUUUGACCUUUAUCAUUUGGGUUUGAUUCCUAAGGCGUUAUAUGAUGUUUUAAGUUGCUUUUGGCUAGUUUCGAGCCGUUCGGAGGUUGAUUCGCGCGUGAUGGCAUUUCUAGAGUAUUAUUUUAGCUUGCUUGAGAUAAGUAUAUUAUCUAAACUUUAUGGAGGCACUAGUUUCCUGAGUUUUUUGUGAUAGCUACGUGUUAUGGGUGGCGCACAUGUGUGGGGUUGAGCCCAUGUGCAUGCACCGUGGUAUUUUUCAUGCUCGAGGUAAAGUUUAGGCUAUGAUAUGACUUGGACUGACUGUUAAGCUUAAUGUUGCGAUGUUUCUUAUAUUUUUACCCCUGUUGUGAGCUAUUUGAGCUAUGUUUGUGGUUUUCUCCUGAUUGAACCUGAUAAAUUGAUACUUUCGUAAUGUAUUUGCCUGAUUAAGCUGUGAUAGCAUACUUUGCACAUGCAUACACCUUAGCAUGUCACUUACACCAGUCCAGAAGUAUGAAAUUUGAUAUUCAUUGAUCAUGCACAUGUAUUCUUAUAUAUCUGCUUUCUAUGUGAUAUGGAUUGGACUGGUAACAUGUGACCACGCCGGGCAGAUUGUGAAAUUUAUCAUGCCAGGACGUUUGUGAUAUUAAGAAUGUGAUCACGCCGGACGGAUUGAUAUUAUUGGCACGUGAGUGGUCCGUGCAACACGUGAGUUAUCCGUGCGGUUGAUAUAUUAUUAGCAAUAUAAGUUGUCCGUGCGGAUCUGAGAUAUUAUUAUUAACACGUGAGUUAUCCGUGCAGCACGUGAGUUGUCCGUGCGAUUGAUAUUAUUAGCACGUGAGUUGUCCGUGCAGCACGUGAGUUAUCUGUGUAGCAUUUGGAUAUGUAUUAAUUCCCCUAGGGUCACCCUCUCAUGUGCCUUCUUUGAUGGUGUACGCACGGAUUAUGAGAAACCGACGGGUUUCUCGUUGAUGUGAGCUCUGGGAGAGAUAAUUAUUGGUUUGGUUCGGUUACUGAGAUUCUGAUGUGGGUCUUAGAGUCGUAAUGUGAUUUCUAUUUGAAUCGGGUUACGCACUACAACAGAUUGAUAUCUGGUUAUUGCAUUUCAUCUUUACUUACAAUUUUCUUAUUGUUUACCUGAUUUAUUUGAUAGAUUGUUGACUGAGUAGAAUAUGUUAUGAAGAUUGUGAGCACCAAGGUAUUGUUAUCUGUGUUUUCAUGAUAUGAUCAUAUUUCUGUCUUGUACUUGUUGGAAUUUAUGAACUGGUACAGGUGAUUGGCGAGUAUCAUUUAUAAUUCUUGCUUCUAUGAACUGGUACAGGUGAUUAGUUAUGAUACUUACUGAGUAUAUGAGGUCGAUUGUACUCAUGCUGUACUUCUACACCUUGUGUGCAGAUCUUGGAGAUAAGAUUUUGUGGAUGACGGGAGCUGGAAAUGCAGAUGUACUUGCUUUUCGGAUAUAGCUACCACUUGUCCUUGGUAGUCUUAGAUUUGAAUCAUGUAUAUAUAUAUAUAUAUAUAUAUUUCAAACAUAUAUUAUAUUUAUUUUCAUACCAGCUUGUAAAUCUAAGUCUUAGUGGCUCAUGACUUGUACUACCAGUCUUUGGGAUAUUGUAUGAGAAUUUCAGUUAUUUUAUUUAUUGAAUUCAUAUUAUUUCAUUAGAGUUGUAUUGACGGUUAUUUGGCUUACCUAGCGGGUUGGGUUAGGUGCCAUCAUGACUAGUUAGAUUUUGGAUCGUGACAAGUUGGUAUAAGAGCUCUAUGUUUAUAGGUUCUACGAUUCAUGAACAAGUGUCUAGUAGAUUCUUGCGGAUCGGUAUGAUGACGUCCAUACCUAUAUUUGGGAGGCUACAAGGCAUGUAGGAAAACUUUUCCAUCCUUCUUUCCUUAUCGUGCGGCAUCGAUUCCGCUUGAAGUGUGUCUCUUUAAAUUCCUUCCAUCAACUCGUAGGUUAUGUGGAGCACUUGGUAUCAUUUGUGCAUCAACGACUUGUGAUGUCAUGGAUGAGGUGCGAGAUGCAUUUUUGGUGUUGUAGAGAUAGGCCAGUCUGGAGGACUUGAGGUCUGGUUCUGACCGUAGCUAGGCUCGGUGGUUUCGGUUGUGUGAGUAUGUGGUUUUAGACUUAUAUGUCUGGUAGUGUCCCUAUGAGUAGGAUUGAUGACUUAUUGAGUGGUUGGAUAGUUAUAUGAUGUGUAUUAUAUGACUGGGGAAUAUGCUUAGAUGAUUUAAAUGCGUCGAGAAGGGUUUGCUUGGGGCAUAAAGCACUAUGGAUGCUUGAUUUCUAUCUUGAUGUGUGGUACAAUCUCGAGUUAUAAGUGUGUUAGGGAUCUCUCACGUAGUUCAUUUGUGGAAUGAAGUAGAUUCUUAUGUCUUGAUGAUGAGUUUAGACUCGGAAGGAUUUAGUGAUUGCAUAGUGGUUGCGACCAGGAUGAGGUCAUAGAGAUGCCAGUUUGAGGCUGAGUGGGUGGGUUGUCACCUGCGGGGUAGUCUAUGGAUGUGUGAUUCUUAUGAUGUUUAUGCGGAGAGUUUCUUUCUAGUGGGUUACAUACAUUGCAAUUUGUUUGGAUUGCUUGAAGGAGUUUGCACGACUGUCACUUUGGUGAAUAUGCGCUUGGCGGGUUGGCGGGUUAUUUGAGGUAUCUUAUGAUUAGGGUUACAUGAGUUUAUGAUGGAAUUAGUUGACUUACAGUGCGGGAUUAUGGCAGUUAUGGAGUAAGGGUAUUGUGGGUUAUCGAAUGUUAUAUUCUAUGGCUUUGAGCUAAGCGGAGGAGCUUGGUAUCGAUGAUCAGAUAAAAUGGCCAUGUGCUAUGAUAGUUUUGGUCUAAGGUAUACUUGUGGAUUUGUUAUAACUUGAAGAGGUCGAUUUCGAGGAUGACUCGAGUAAGGAAAUUUUUGGAUGCAUGAUAUAUUACACUUUAUGGAUAUAUAGAAAUCUUGGGGUGAUUCGGCUUUGUUAUUCGUGGCGGAGGUAGUGUGCAAGGAGUAAUGAUUCACUCGAUUGCUUAGAGAUGUGGGCUACUUCUUGAGGUGUUUGUGUGUUAAUGAAGUACAAGUCGUUCGACUCGUAUCGACGGUGCUUUGGGGAUUUGAGCAGAGUGGAUGACUCUCGAGAAGAUUCUAAUGCAUUCAAGCUUCAUAUGUGGUAUUUGAAGAUUUUCCGAAAUUGUAGGUGGCUAAGAUCUAAGAUUUGCAUAGGAAAAUGUCGAGAUUUGCGGUAUAUCUAUAUCAUUAGUGGUUUUACAUUUCAGUAUCAGAGAGGUUAAGGAAACAGCUUCAUAUUCACAGAAGGUCUCUUCAUAGUGGGUAUCUCGGUUGCAAUACUUUUGGGUGCUUAAGAGGGAAUACAAUGGCUUAUGGGCUUUAGGGAGACGUGGUUUCAUGAUAGGAUCUCUCGUGGUGAGCUUUGGGUUAAUGAUCAUAGUGUAAUGGUAGGGAGGAACGUUAUCUUGAAGUCAAGUCGAGAGGGACUCGAAGAAAUGGGUUAGCUUGGUAGUAGUUUGGAUCAGCAUAGUGAUAGUAGUGAUCGGUUCUUUUUGGUUCUUUGGGUGUGGCGAGGCUUUAUAGGUGUGUUGUCGCAAUGCUCUUAGGCUUGGCGAUCUGCGUAACUUGGUUGAGUUACUGGGAUUCAGUUUUGAUGGCUUGAUUAUGUGCAAAUGGGUUUUGAAGAGUUCUCGAUGGUGUCGACUACGGCUUGGGAUGGAUGUCUUCUACAGGUAGGAGGAGUAUGUUGCGUGUGGUGAUUUUCUCUCGGAUGGGGGUCAAUUGGAAGGUUUCUGGUUGAUAGAAUGUACAUCUUACUUGUGUUCAGGGUUGAUAAAGGGGUUCUCGUGUUUUCAUAUGAUGGCAUGACAGAUGCGGUGCAACAUAUGGGGUUGAGGUUUACUUAUACACAGUUAUGGUUCCGUUUAAAAGAAAGGUCAUGGGCGGUUUCAGAUGUUUAGACGAAUGUUGGAACUAUUUGAUAUCACCUGAGAAGAGCAUCUACUUCAAAGAGGCGCAUUGUGUUUUGACUUGCGGAUUCUUGACUGGAAUUACGGUAAUCGCAUGGUUGAUCGACUGUCGAUGUUCAGAUUUUUCUAUGUGGCAUAAAAAGAUUAUGGAAGUAUUUCUUUUCAGAUGAUUGUGUGUAGGGAUGUAUCAGUCAUUUGAAUGGUGGAGUGGAAUUGGACAUGGAAAAUUCUGGUAUUCUAGGGAUUUGAAGACUAUGAGGGUUCUCGGAGGCAGAUUGUUCCUUGGUUGCAGACAAUUAAGGUAUGUUAAAAGUUUGAUGGCUGAUUUUAUAUGUUAUGGUUAGGUUACUAUAGAUUCUUGGAAGGUUACUUACCUAUCUCAAGUGGAUCAGAAUUUAUUUGGAAGCCACUAGUAGGCCUAAUGAGGAUGUUUAUUCUACACCGGAUCGGAUUUGUUGACUCAGCAUGGCUAUUGUUGAGGGGUGUGUCAUUCGGUUAGGGUUGAUCUUACUCGUGUCAGUUAUGCUUCAUGUGUUACUCUUCUAUGCUACGAUGGGUUGCAAGAUUGUUGACUAUUCGCGCAUGAUGCAAUUUUGUUUGGACUUUGUGGUGCAAUUCUAGCGAGGUGGUUCUUGGUUUCUUUAAUGGUUGAUUGUGUCUUGGUUAUAUUCUUCCUGUUUGUGGUAUAUUGUGCUAUAUGUUUCUCCAUGGUUAUGGUCAUGCACUUCGCGUAUUUUUUAUUGAUAUUCAUAUGGUUGUUAAUUUUGAGCAUCAUGGCUUGAGGUAUUCUAUGUGGACCGGUGUCCGGAUUGGGUCAUGCAUCGCAGCGGAGUUAUGUGGGGAUAUGAUCAUUUGUGCUUAUUUCGUGUGUUUCGUUUCUUCUUUGUGUGAUAGGUUCAUAGCAUUGCGCUUUGUGGUGAUAUCUGUAGAGCUUGCUAGAUGGUCCUCUUAUUUGGUUCUCUUUACAUCAUUGGGUGCAUUUGAUUUGUUGCCUGUUUCGUGCACGUAUUGCAUGGUAUGUGGCUUUAGGUAGUAUUGGUGUGUCAUGUUGGUUGAGCAUCUUGUAUUAGAUGAGAUGAGAUUUUGGACCUGGAAUUAGUACUAUCGAAUUUGGUUAAGGUAUGCUUGGAAGAAUAAUGUCAGAAGUCAGCUUAGAAUUUGGCUAUGGUUCUUAUCGGGCAAGAGAGCUUCACGACUUGUUGAUCUGAUGAGGUGUUAUGAGUAUCUGCAUGUUUAUUUCAUCAUUGGUAGUAUACGAAAGUUCAGAAGAAGGUUUUAGUUGAUAUGGGAUUUGUUACCCGUACCAGGUUUGUUAUUGAGCAACUAUUAUGGUCGGAAGUUAUUGCUAUGAGUAUUUGAGUUAUGUGGUAUAUCAUGUGAUUAUAUCUUGGAAUAUGGUUAUGAGUUGAUACAGCUUGUUCAGACUUAUACAAUCUAUGGAUGCAAGAAUCGGGUCUUAUAAUGAAUUCCGGGUGUUGGGAUUGGGUUCUAAGGUUUAUGGACUAAGGUUGAACAAAGGAUCUUCAGUUAGAUUGCAUUGUCGGGCUUAUAUGGAUUGAGGGUGACGUGGGAUCACCCAGGGGUAUAUGUAUGGCAGGUUAUGCAGUGAUUUGAUGACUGUGUUACGACUCUUUGCACGCUUGAGGACGAGCGUAUGUUUAAGUGGAAAAGAAUGUAACGACCUGACCGGUCAUAUAUUUUGCAUUCAGUUCAGUGGUUUGACGUCAUGAGUAGCUUCAUAUGGUUUUCUAUGACUUGUAUGUAUCGUGGGUUUUGAUUUUCGAGUGGUUUAGGAUUAAUUUGGAAGAAUGAUUCUCAACUAGGAAGCUUUAAGUUGGCAGAGUUGACCAAGUUUGACUUUUAUGUAUUUGAUCUCGGAUCGGAAUUUUGUUGGCUCUGUUAGGUCUGGAUGGUAAUUUUGGACUUGGACGUAUGCCCGGAUUUACAUUCGGGUGUUCCUAAAAGAUUUUGGCUCUAUUUGGCGAAAGUUGACAAUUUGAAGGUUUGGAAAGUUCAUAUGUUUGAUUGAGAGUUGACUUUGAUGAUACCGAGUUCGGAUUGUUGUUUUGGAAGUUGGAAUAUGUUCAUUAUGCCAUUUGGAACUUAUGUGCAAAAUUUGAGGUGAUUCCGAGUAGUUUAGACAUGUUCGGCGUAAGUUUAGAAUUUGAAAAUUUUAAAUAAUUUAUUAAGCUUGAAUUAAGGUGUGAUUCGUCAUUUUGAUAUUAUUAUGUGUGAUUUGAGGCCUCGUGUAUGUCCGUGUUAUGUUUUGGAACUUGUUGGCAUGUUCGGAUGGGGUCCCGAGGGACUCGGAUGAGUUUUCGGAUGGGUUUCAGGCCAUUUUGGGCCAUGUUAGAUAUUGCUGGUUUCUGCUGAUUUCUGAUAUUUCAGUUGUUCUUCGCGAUCACGCAGAUGAAGUCGUGAUCGCGUAGUGUUCUAGGAGCUGGUCUUCUUCAUGAUCGUGAUAGAGGGAUCGCAUUCGCAAUGAUUGAGGCUUUAAGCUCUCGCAUUCGCGUCUGGGACUACGUGUUCGCGUAGUGUUGGGCUACGCUGGGUCAUGAUGGGUUCUUCUUCGCGUUCGCGCGGGAGUGUCCGCAUUCGGGAGCAUCUGUGCAAAUGUGAAUUGCGAUCGCGAGCUUGGGGCCGCGUUCUCGUAGGGUUCCUUCGAGGCAGUCAGUUUUGUUCUUCGCGAUCGGGAAGUUGGUCCCGCGAUCGCAAAGGGUUUACCUGGGCAGUGUUAUAAAGUACUCUAUUUGCGGACUUCGAGUUAUUUUAUCACAUUUUGAAUUGGGGAGCUCAUAUUUGGGCGAUUUUGGAGAGGAUUUUCAUCAUACGAAUUGGGAUAAGUAUUAUUUACUCGGAUUUGAUUAUUUUACAUGAUUCCAUCUUUGAUUUUGGCAUUCAAGUGAUGAUUCGAAAAGAGAAAUGAGGGGUUUUGCCUAAACUUUUCUAAAGUGAAUAAUUGAGUUUUAAACAUCGAUUUGGAGUCGAAAUUGGAUCAAAUUAGUAUAGUUGGAUUCAUAUUCGAAUGGGUUAUCAGAAUUUGUGAGUUUUGUCAGAUUCCAUGGUGCGGGCCCAGGUUGACUUUG